rnacentral:lncRNA from 1 species
ACUCAAGAUAAUCUACUUAUACUUCUACUUAGGAAAAAUACAUAUCCAAACAUAAAUCUACAAAUACCGCAUAUACGAUCAAGAGUCGUAGAAAAAAAAUUACGAUAUUGGGGAAUUGUAGGAAAGAGAUCUAAAGGAUCUUUUUCCUCAAAUUCCUCUUUGGCCUUAUUAUAUCAUCCCCCCCUCUCCCCGCCAAUUAAUAUUUUCUUUAUAUUGUUUUGUUCAUUUUUGUUCAUUCAAUUCGAAUAGCAAAUACCAAGAGUGAUAAGUUGAAUAAAAAUUCUUAUAGUAUCACAGGCGGGUGAUUAAAAAAAAAGAAAAGAAAGAUGCUUUAUAAAAUAAUUCCCCUUUUAGUUGAUUUUAGUCAAUUCUUCAAUUCAACGAUUGACCAAAAGAGAAUAUUAAUAUAAUAAAUUGCAUGGCCGUAUCUCAAUCAACUACUGAUAUAUUAGUUCUAUGCAAUAAUUCGCCUUAAUGAAUUCGUCUAUUUCGAUUGUAGCCUGGUGGAUAAUGAUAACGAAAAGGAAUAGAAAAAAAAAGAGAUUUAUAAAAAACGGGGUGAUUCGAUGAGGGGUACAUAAUUAGGUAUGUGGAAUCAAAUGCCAACUCUUGUGUAUUUUUUGAAUUUUAAAAGGGGUUCGAGAAUACGAUUGACUUUAAGAUACGAAUACUUGGAGUCUAAGAUAUUAAUAGUUGGUUUACGUUCUGUAAGAAAGACAUGUAUAUGGGAUAUUAGAUAUUGCUAGUUAUAUAUGAACUAAAGAUAUAUCUAAUCCACCCUACUCUUGUGAUUAUUGUGAAUUUCGAUAGGGAUUCUAAUAGAAAUUUAGAAAUUGUUCGAUUUCGUCUUUGCUGCUGUACGGCCAAGAUUGUGAAUUUCGAUAGGGAUUCUAAUAGAAAUUUAGAAAUUGUUCGAUUUCGUCUUUGCUUUGAUGCUUUGACUGGGAAUUGAAUCAAUAAAAAUAAAGAGAUGAAAGAAAGAAAACGAACGAAGAAUUCAAAAAAGGGUUCCGAAAAAAGAAAUGGAAGAACAAAAGUCGUAUGGAUUUACAAAAAUCCUGUGUUGUGCCUGUGGAUCGAAACUAAAAAAGAGAUAUCUAAAAAGUGUUGA